GAUGAACGCUGGCGGCGUGCCUAAUACAUGCCAGUCGAGCGAACAGACGAGGAGCUUGCUCCUCUGACGUUAGCGGCGGACGGGUGAGUAACACGUGGAUAACCUACCUAUAAGACUGGGAUAACUUCGGGAAACCGGAGCUAAUACCGGAUAAUAUAUUGAACCGCAUGGUUCAAUAGUGAAAGACGGUUUUGCUGUCACUUAUAGAUGGAUCCGCGCCGCAUUAGCUAGUUGGUAAGGUAACGGCUUACCAAGGCAACGAUGCGUAGCCGACCUGAGAGGGUGAUCGGCCACACUGGAACUGAGACACGGUCCAGACUCCUACGGGAGGCAGCAGUAGGGAAUCUUCCGCAGUGGGCGAAAGCCUGACGGAGCAACGCCGCGUGAGCGAUGAAGGUCUUCGGAUCGUAAAACUCUGUUAUUAGGGAAGAACAAAUGUGUAAGUAACUAUGCACGUCUUGACGGUACCUAAUCAGAAAGCCACGGCUAACUACGUG
rnacentral:rRNA from 1 species